CUUGAAACACGGACCAAGGAGUCUAGCAUGUGCGCAAGUCAUUGGGACUAGCGAAACCUAAAGGCAAAAUGAAAGUGAAGGCGCGCCUUGCGCGCGCCUAGGGAGGAUGGGCCGCGACACGUCGCGGCCCCGCACUCCCGGGGCGUUUCGUUCUCAUUGCGAGAUGAGGCGCACCCAGAGCGUACACGCUGGGACCCGAAAGAUGGUGAACUAUGCCUGGUCAGGACGAAGUCAGGGGAAACCCUGAUGGAGGUCCGUAGCGAUUCUGACGUGCAAAUCGAUCGUCGGAACUGGGUAUAGGGGCGAAAGACUAAUCGAACCAUCUAGUAGCUGGUUCCCUCCGAAGUUUCCCUCAGGAUAGCUGGCGCUCGCUUUGCGAGUCUCAUCCGGUAAAGCGAAUGAUUAGAGGCAUUGGGGUCGAAACGGCCUCAACCUAUUCUCAAACUUUAAAUGGGUGAGAUCUCCGGCUUGCUUGAAAAGUGAAGCCGCGAGAUAUAUUUAUUCGGAUCAGAGUGCCAAGUGGGCCAUUUUUGGUAAGCAGAACUGGCGCUGUGGGAUGAACCAAACGCUGAGUUAAAGCGCCUAAAUCGACGCUUAUGGGAUACCAUGAAAGGCGUUGGUAACUUAAGACAGCAGGACG
rnacentral:rRNA from 1 species